CAAGGACUCAUUCAUCUCGGGGCGCUGAGAAUCCUGUCCACACAUUUAAAAUCCAGUGGCUCUCCUAAGAUGCUCAGCGGGAACUGAUCUUGGACUCUUGGCUCCUUAGAGCACCAUCUGUCCUUUAAAUCUUGUGACCGGCUCUUCCAUUCUUAAAGGACGGUCACAGACCUUUCGCGUGUUUUUGUCUGGGCCUUGCUUUGUCCCCUUGUCCAGAAGCGCAGCAGGCUUCUGUUCUCUUUUUCUGGUUUCUGCAGCUCACUUUUCACCUCAUCCUGCUGUCUGAGAAUGACUUGCAUGAUCGCUGGAGAAACCAGUCUCCAAAGAGGCCCCACAUGCACUUCCUACAAGAAGUGCAGCAUGGAACCCCCUCUGAGCCCCUGACCAGUGACCCCCAGACACGGGGCCACUUCUGCUUCCUCACUCUUGGAAAACAAACACAUCACCACCUAGGUUACUGUCUAUGCCCUGAUUUUACUUCCUUAAAUAACAUAUUCAAAAAAUAGAUAUCAAAAAUGUAGUCUUUUCAAUAGUGUCUAAAGGAAAGAAAACACAUGCUUUUACCUAUUGUGAGUUUUUCUCUUGAGUUCAUUUCAAAUGAGAAAACAUCUAAGUCUGGAAGAGGACUGAUAUGUAUUUAUGCCAAGGGCUGCAGGUUCGAGACUCUUCCAGCCUCCAGAUUGUGUAUAAAUCCAGCUCAUCUGAGGUCACAGGCUGCUAUUGACCGAAUUGUGCCCCAGAUUCACCUGUUGAAGCUCU
rnacentral:lncRNA from 1 species